UACGGAGGGGGCUAGCGUUGUUCGGAAUUACUGGGCGUAAAGGGCUCGUAGGCGGCCAACUAAGUCGGAUGUGAAAUCCCCAGGCUUAACCUGGGAACUGCAUCCGAUACUGGAUGGCUUGAAUCCGGGAGAGGGAUGCAGAAUUCCAGGUGUAGCGGUGAAAAUGCGUAGAUAUCUGGAGGAAUACCGGUGGCGAAGGCGGCAUCCUGGACCGGCAUUGACGCUGAGGAGCGAAAAGCUAGGGGA
rnacentral:rRNA from 1 species